GUUUAUCACUAUAAAUACUUAUUAAGCAAUUGGUUUGAGAAUCACGAAAUUCAUUAUUCACUAAAUCACUAAAAUUCGGAAUUGCUUGUGAAGCAAUAGUGCUAGCACACAAGCACUAGUUUUGGCUAAGGUCUGUUCGUGUGGAUACUCGUAGAGGACGCGUUCUUUUGGAGGCGUUUCUGAUCCGAGGCCAGGUAUCACCAAAGUGAACCACCUCCUUCCUUCCUACAUUGCUGUUGAAUUCGACAUACAAACGCAUCGAUGGACUUCGAAAGUGACAUGUUUGGCUUAGUGGGGUUCGGCCAUUAUUUUGAUAUCAUGAAUUGGAUAGCGAAUUUGUAUUUUCUUUCAGGUUUAUUAUGUGGUGAUGUGGUCGAGCUUCCAUCCACUGUUCUGGAAGUCUCAGUUAUGAAAGUUUCUACCCUUCUUAGAGCUGCAGUAGUUAUGUUAGUAGAUUAAUUCGAUAGUUGACUUGACAGUUUAUGUUUUUCAUGUGCUGUGGCAUAAAGAUGUAUUUUUGGAAAAUGGUUUAUCCACAUAUUUUGUAUAUGAUUACAUGAUAUUUUGCACAAGGUGGUUUGUGUUUUUAACAGGUGCAAGUAGCACAGUUUUCAAACGUUAUAUUGCCGAUUUUUUUUAAAAUUUAAGAUUGUUGUUUUGCGAAAAAUUUAUAGUGAAUUUCAGGCUUGCUAC